rnacentral:sRNA from 1 species
ACAUAGCCCCGAUUGUAGUGGAAAUCCUUUUUGUUUUUCUUUGGAAAACAAAAAGAUUGCAACGGAAAGCGGGGUGAUAA